GCCCCCAGUGUCCCGUUCCCAGAGAGAGGACAGUGGAGAGCCUCUGAGGAAGGAGCUACAGGAGACCCCCUUAGGAGGCAGUGAAGACCCCCCACUAGAAAAUAAAGGCCAGGAGAGCAGAGGCUUUGUGCACAGCUAGGUCGUAAGAAACAACGUGGCUCCUGCCUUGCCUGCUGGGACACUGCCUUCGGAGACUUGGCAUCACCAUGUUCUGAGGAAGCCCUACAUGGUGAGGUCCCAUGUAGGUGCUCGGUAGGAGUCAGCACCUCUAAGUGAGCUUCAGCCAAGAGGCAGCAGCAACUGCGAACCGUGUGAGCAGCCCUCUGGGAGACGCAGCCGCGCUGAGCCCUCCGGACUGCAGCACCAGUCGACAUCUGAAUGCAGCCGUGUGAGAGACGCCAAGUGAGAACCACCCAGCUGAACCCUGCCUUCCCUCCCUUCUACGACCACAGAGUUGGUAUGGAAAUUAAGCCAGUAGACUGGAAUUUUCCCCAACUUUCGAGUGUUGUCGAGCGCUUCGGGUUGACACAGAUGUUGAGAAGUGCAGCUCCCAGCUCCACGGGGAUACGCAGGAGGCUGCAGAGCUCCUCUAAAACCCAUUUGUCCCUGUUGUUUCCACUAGCUUUUUACUAGUUGGUGGCAUUAGGAUAGGUGUGAAGCCUCCUUCUGUCUUUGGGGCUGGAAAACAUCCUCCUUCUGUUUAGCUCCCAAUCUCAGAAAUCCUGAAGUGCAGAAAAGUCAGAACCUCUCACCAGCCCGCUUCCCAGCGGCGCUUCUCACGACGACACGGAAAGAGUCCAGACAGAGCACCCAGCCCCAUCUCCUGCGUCUCCGCUGCACAGCCCACGCCACAGAGAGGCUCCCCUGCCCUCAUCUACUCACUGGCUUGCUCCCUCCUGCACAUUAACAGCCGGCGAGAGAGGAGAGAAACUCUGGAAAGAACCCAAAGUGCCUAUUAGAUGAUUGUUAUUAUGUUGGUGCCUGUUGCAACCAUAUAAAUCUGAGGUCUUA